rnacentral:lncRNA from 1 species
CGCUGCUCCAGUUGGGAGCAGGAUGGCUGCUACCUGGGGCGCUGGCCAGCACUUUCUUUUCGUGGGCCGAACCUCCAUUCGUUCCAGGAUCACCUGGCUCAGCCUGGAAUCUCGUUUCCCGGUGGACCAUCCUUCACCAAGGUUGUCCUGCCUGCCUAAUGUUUCCUCUUCACUUCCCAAUUAGGACCUAGGGAGAGUUGGAUAUCCAGGUGCAAAGUUUCUUGGUCCCUGCACCAAAGUAAGUGCCCUGUGCGAUUGCCUUCUGAAGGACUGUCCCUGCGCUGGCCUGGAGUGUGUGUGUGUGUGUGGGGGGGGG